GGAGUUAGCCGGUGCUUCUUCUGUGAGUGAUGUCCUUCCUGCCGGCUAUUAACCCGCAGGCCUUCUUCCUCACUGAAAGUGCUUUACAACCCGAAGGCCUUCUUCACACACGCGGCAUGGCUGGAUCAGGGUUGCCCCCAUUGUCCAAUAUUCCCCACUGCUGCCUCCCGUAGGAGUCUGGGCCGUGUCUCAGUCCCAGUGUGGCUGAUCAUCCUCUCAGACCAGCUACGGAUCGUCGCCUUGGUGAGCCGUUACCUCACCAACCAGCUAAUCCGACAUAGGCUCAUCCGAUAGCGCGAGGCCCGAAGGUCCCCCGCUUUCCCCCGUAGGGCGUAUGCGGUAUUAGCCUGGGUUUCCCCAGGUUAUCCCCCGACUACCGGGGCAGAUUCCUAUGCAUUACUCACCCGUCCGCCGCUCGCCACCAGGGAGCAAGCUCCCCGUGCUGCCGCUCGACUUGCAUGUGUUAGGCCUGCCGCCACGCGUUCACUACUGAGCCACUGAUACAACUACUCGA
rnacentral:rRNA from 1 species